rnacentral:rRNA from 1 species
UACAGAGGGGGCAAGCGUUGUCCGGAUUUACUGGGCGUAAAGGGCGCGUAGGCGGCCUGUUAAGUCGAACGUGAAAUCCCCGGGCUCAACCCGGGAACUGCGUCCGAUACUGGCAGGCUUGAAUCCGGGAGAGGGAUGUGGAAUUCCAGGUGUAGCGGUGAAAUGCGUAGAUAUCUGGAGGAACACCGGUGGCGAAGGCGGCAUCCUGGACCGAUAUUGACGCUGAUGCGCGAAAGCCAGGGGAGCAAACGGG